rnacentral:rRNA from 1 species
CUACGGGAGGCAGCAGUGGGGAAUAUUGGACAAUGGGCGCAAGCCUGAUCCAGCCAUGCCGCGUGAGUGAUGAAGGCCUUAGGGUUGUAAAGCUCUUUCGGCGGGGAAGAUAAUGACGGUACCCGCAGAAGAAGCCCCGGCUAACUUCGUGCCAGCAGCCGCGGUAAUACGAAGGGGGUUAGCGUUGCUCGGAAUCACUGGGCGUAAAGCGCACGUAGGCGGAUUGUUAAGUCAGGGGUGAAAUCCCGGAGCUCAACUCCGGAACUGCCUUUGAUACUGGCAAUCUUGAGGCUGGAAGAGGUUGGUAGAAUUCCCAGUGUAGAGGUGAAAUUCGUAGAUAUUGGGAAGAAUACCAGUGGCGAAGGCGGCCAACUGGUCCAGAUCUGACGCUGAGGUGCGAAAGCGUGGGGAGCAAACAGGAUUAGAAACCCUUGUAGUCC